AUGUUGGGCCCCGUGGGGAAGCCCCGUGAGCUCACUCCCCUCCGUCUCCAGCAGAGCGUGACCGUCAUCCCGCAGCCAGUUACACGGGAGCGCGCCGGUGCAUCCUGGGAGUCGUCAGCAGUGGGGAUUGUGGGAAAUGUAGUUUGGAGACUCCGCCCUCCUCGCCAUUUCUGUAAUGGCUGCUUCGUGGAAGGCGGUGUCACGCAGAAGCUCUUAGUCUCAGCAUCCGGAGCUCCAAGAAAGGAGUAUUUCAAAUUUGUCUGCAUUUCCUGGAUGGGAGAGACCUUAAGAAAGUGUAAUUUUUACUCACUAGGAUACUUUAAGUUUCCAAAGACCUUCAGCCCUCAAGAUCCAGCCACUUGAAGACCCCAGCAUCAUGACCUCAGUUUCAACUCAAGUGUUCUUAGUUCUCAUUUCACUGCUUUUGGUGCUGCCUGUUGUUGAAGCAGUAGAAACGGGAGAUGCAGUUGCUCUCUUGUUAGGUGUGGUACUCAGCGUUACAGGCAUUUGUGCUUGUUUGGGGAUAUAUGCACGAAAGAGAAAUGGACAGAUGUGACUUUGAAGAGCCUCCUGAAUCAAACCUUGCCCUGAAAAUCUUUGUGCUAUUGAGGCUAAAAACAGAGCUUUGGUGUCUGGAAGUUCCCAAGAAACAGUAAAUAGG
rnacentral:lncRNA from 1 species